GUUCUUAUAGUUGAAUAACAACGGUGGUUCUUCAAGUCAUUGGUCUCGGUUCAAAUCCGAGUGGGAAUU
rnacentral:tRNA from 1 species